rnacentral:lncRNA from 1 species
ACCUAUAAGUGGAACCCAACUAAAUACUAGAGUAACAUCUAGUAUAUUACUUCAAUGGAAAAAUAUUUAUAGUAAUAACCAGUUGUGUAUGUUUGUAUGGAAAACAAAGAGAGUAAGGUAAACCUUUAAUGAAUCUAUGUCCAGUUUGGAAGAUACAGGUCGUACAAGUGCAUCUGAUUAGAUUCACCUAUGUAAUUGAAGGAAGUGGGACCGCUUCUGCGAGACAUAAGGCUUGUCUCUAAGUCGCUUGUAAAACCCAAGAGGUAAACACGAGGCCAUAAAUGUGUUGGGUUUCCUUAAAUUAUAAGGAU